GAUGAACGCUGGCGGCGUGCCUAAUACAUGCAAGUCGAACGAAACUUCUUUAUCACCGAGUGCUUGCACUCACCGAUAAAGAGUUGAGUGGCGAACGGGUGAGUAACACGUGGGCAACCUGCCCAAAAGAGGGGGAUAACACGUGGAAACAGGUGCUAAUACCGCAUAACCAUAGUUACCGCAUGGUAACUAUGUAAAAGGUGGCUAUACUACCGCUUUUGGAUGGGCCCGCGGCGCAUUAGCUAGUUGGUAGGGUAAAGGCUUACCAAGGCAAUGAUGCGUAGCCGAAUUGAGAGGUUGAUCGGCCACAUUGGGACUGAGACACGGCCCAAACUCCUACGGGAGGCAGCAGUAGGGAAUCUUCCACAAUGGGCGAAAGCCUGAUGGAGCAACGCCGCGUGGGUGAAGAAGGUCUUCGGAUCGUAAAACCCUGUUGUUAGAGAAGAAAGUGCGUGAGAGUAACUGUUCACGUUUCGACGGUAUCUAACCAGAAAGCCACGGCUAACUACGUG
rnacentral:rRNA from 1 species